rnacentral:misc_RNA from 1 species
GCAAACUUGGUCAUUUAGAGGAAGUAAAAGUCGUAACAAGGUUUCCGUAGGUGAACCUGCGGAAGGAUCAUUACAAAUCCAUCACGUCUCCUUAACACCGAGACCACGUUGAACUGUUUUACUUGUUGACCUCCUCCUCGUGGAUGCGCCCGGCAACAACCAUAUAUAUAUGUGUCCCCUACAAUAUACACACGCCACUACUCGUGGCGUGUGGUGGGGUGAUACUGGUGGUGCGCGCUGGUGCGGUCUUCGUGGAGUGUCAAUAUGUCUAAACUAGUAUCUUCCAGUAGCACAAAUGUAUCUGAGAAGGAGGAUAUGUGUGUGGAGAGAGAGAGAAGGGACUCAAGUUACUUGCGAACCUUCCUUUCCCGAUCCUCAUUCCCCUUCGCAAAACAACUGAUACACAACUUAUAACAAUGGAUCUCUAGGCUCUUGCAUCAAUGAAGAACGCAGC